UACAGAGGGUGCAAGCGUUGUUCGGAAUUAUUGGGCGUAAAGGGCGCGUAGGCGGUGCGGUAAGUCUGUAGUGAAAUCUCUGGGCUCAACUCAGAGUCUGCUGCAGAAACUGCCGUGCUUGAGUGUGGGAGAGGUGAGUGGAAUUCCCGGUGUAGCGGUGAAAUGCGUAGAUAUCAGGAGGAACACCUGUGGCGAAAGCGGCUCACUGGACCAUAACUGACGCUGAUGCACGAAAGCUAGGGGAGCAAACAGG
rnacentral:rRNA from 1 species